rnacentral:rRNA from 1 species
GUACGGAGGGAUGCAAGCAGUUAAGUCGGAAUUACUGGGCGUAAAGCGCACGCAGGCGGUCUGUCAAGUCGGAUGUGAAAUCCCCGGGCUCAACCUCGGGAACUGCAUUCGAAACUGGCAGGCUAGAGUCUUGUAGAGGGGGGGUAGAAUUCCAGGUGUAGCGGUGAAAUGCGUAGAGAUCUGGAGGAAUACCGGUGGCGAAGGCGGCCCCCUGGACAAAGACUGACGCUCAGGUGCGAAAGCGUGGGGAGCAAACAGG